rnacentral:rRNA from 1 species
AAAGGAAUUGACGGGGGCCCGCACAAGCAGCGGAGCAUGUGGUUUAAUUCGAAGCAACGCGAAGAACCUUACCAAGGCUUGACAUCCCGGUGACGAGUGUAGAGAUACAUUUUUUCUUCGGAACACCGGUGACAGGUGGUGCAUGGUUGUCGUCAGCUCGUGUCGUGAGAUGUUGGGUUAAGUCCCGCAACGAGCGCAACCCUUAUCAUUAGUUGCCAGCAUGUAAAGAUGGGAACUCUAAUGAGACUGCCGUGGAUAACACGGAGGAAGGUGGGGACGAUGUCAAAUCAUCAUGCCCUUUAUGUCUUGGGCUACACACGUGCUACAAUGGUCGGUACAAAGGGCAGCGAAGCGGUAACGCCAAGCGAAUCUCAAAAAGCCGAUCCCAGUUCGGAUUGUGGGCUGCAACCCGCCCACAUGAAGUCGGAGUUGCUAGUAAUCGCGGAUCAGCAUGCCGCGGUGAAUGCGUUCCCGGGCCUUGUACACACCGCCCGU